rnacentral:rRNA from 1 species
UGCGAUGGCCACGCCACUCUGAACAAACCCGAUCCCCUCUGAUCUCGGAAGCUAAGCAGGGUCGGGCCUGGUGAGUACUUGGAUGGGAGACCACCUAGGAAGACUCAGGUGCUGUAGGUG